rnacentral:lncRNA from 1 species
UGGCCGUCGGAAUUUCCUCGGAAUAUUUUCAUUUAACCGGGCAAACAAGCCGCCAAAUAUUUCGCGAAAAUUGAAAUUGAAAAUACUGAGGGAAUUCCGACGGAAAAUAUCCGUCGGACCCUAGGUUUUAUAAACUCGAAACGCAUCUUCUUCCCCAUUUCUCUCUUCUUCCUCUCCGGCGAUCUCUCUCUCCUUCCGGCGUUCUCCACCUUCUCUCGCGACGAUCUCUCCGGCGAAUCCUCUCCAUUC